rnacentral:rRNA from 1 species
UACAGAGGUCUCAACCGUUGUUCGGAUUCAUUGGGCGUAAAGGGUGCGUAGGCGGUCGGGUAAGUCGGAUGUGAAAUCUCAGGGCUCAACCCUGAAACUGCAUUCGAUACUGCCUGGCUAGGGUACUGGAGAGGAGACUGGAAUUACGGUGUAGCAGUGAAAUGCGUAGAUAUCGUAAGGAAGACCAGUGGCGAAGGCGAGUCUCUGGACAGUUACCGACGCUGAGGCACGAAGGUCAGGGGAGCAAACGGGG